CCUUUAUCGCUACAUAAUAUUUUCGGCAACAGAAGGAUCCGUGUCAAAUUUGUUCUUUCCCGGACCCUAACCCUAACCCUAACUCUAUAGAUUUUUGAGCAACUCAAGAACUUGAUCUUUUGCCUUAUUGCAGCCAAUGGGAAGUGAUUCUAGUGAACCCACGCGUCGAAAGCACCACCGCUCCUCCUCGACCGACGAUGCGGAGGAGCGUUCCAAACGCCGCAAACACCGACACCACCGCCACCGGCAUCGCCAUCACCACCACCGGCAUCGAAGCAGUAAAGAUAAAGAAGAAACAACUGCGGUAACUAUCGAGGAAUUGGAGGGUGUACAAAUCGACGAAAUUCACGUUGAAGAAAGGAUGGACAAAAUUGGGGAUGAUGAUGAUGGUGCCUUGGGAGAAGUUUUGGUAUCGGGUGGUUCAGGAUUCGCAGGGGUGGAUUAUGAAAUGGAGGAAGGGGAGAUCGUGGAGGAUGAUGGCUUGGUUGAUUUUGGUAAGGAUUCUGAUAAGUCUAAGAAGAAUUUGCAUUCAGAUGUCGAAUCUGGGGAAAUUGAGACGAAUGGAUACGAUGAUUCUAACAUGGGAGUUAAUGAAGAGAAUGCGGAAAGAGUUGAUAAAACAUUAAGGAAAUUUGGAAAGGACAGUGUGGAUGGCAAAGAAAGUGGUGAGGCGGAUAGAUUUUCUAAUCUGGAGGGUCUUGUAAAUGGGAAUUAUGCACUGAAAUAUGACAAAUCCGACAAUAGAGUUCCCUAUGGAGAUGGUAAGAAGGCAGGUGACUUUCUUGAUGAAGUUGAGCGAAGAAGUCUGAGGAAAGCCUCAUCUUCUGAGAAAAGGCCCAGAGAUGUUUCACGCUCCGACUCUCAUGACAAGUACCUGAAAGAGAGUUCUCAGAGUAAUUUAUCGAGGUCACCUGAAUGGUCUAGGGGAAGGUCUCGCUCCCGAAGCAUUGCACGGGAGGUUUCUGUGGAGGAACCAUAUUGUAUUGAGAUAAAAAAAAAGAGUGAGUCUGAUGAUGAAAGGGUGAAUGCACGUGCAAAAAGCUACAGACACAGCAGCAGAGAUGAUGUAAGAGAGAAAGAAAGGGAGCGUAGUUCUAGCAGAUAUGCGGAGAGAGUAGAAAGGCAUUAUAGCAGGGAGACUCGUGACUCAUACAGGGAGGGCAGUAGAGAGAGGCAUUGGGAUAGGGACAGAACUAGAGAGAAAGAAAGGGAGAAGGAAGAGAUGGAAAAGGAGAGAGAAAGAAACAGAGUCCGAGAUAGAGAUAGAGGGGAGAGGGAGCGGGAUGUGCUGAAGGACAGGGCCAGAGAGAGGGACAAGGAACGGGAGAGGGAUAGAGACCGAGCAAGGGAUAGGGAGAGGGAGAGGGAGAGGGGGAGAGAGAGGGAAAGGGACAAGGAUCGAGUAAGAGAGGAGAAGAACAAGGAUAGAGACAGAGGUAGAGAAGAGGUUAGAGAUGGCAGAAGGACUAGAAGCAGAGAUAAAGAUAGAGAAAAUGAGAGUGAUCGGGUAAACAGGCGCCAGAAAUAUGAUAACGACGAGGAUGGUUAUAGAGAUAGGGAUAAUGAUUCUGGGCACAGAAGAUAUUCCGAAGACUACCAUAGGGAUAGGGCAAGGAGAAGUGGUCUAGAAAAUAUGAGCUCUGUAGAUAAACAGGAGGAACAGGCUAAGGAGAGCCAUGAAAGAGAAGAUGACAGACAAGAGGACUAUCAAGAAAAGAUUACAAUGCAACUUGCAGAACAGGAAGAAGAUGAUCUUGAGAGAAUUAAGGAGGAAAGUAGGAGGCGCAGGCAAGCUAUCCUAGAAAAGUACAAAAAUCAACACCAAAAGAAUGAAAAGCAGGCACAAGAUAUGGCUAAGGAUCAAGGUGGAGAGUCUUCUGCACAAGUGGUGUCGGCUGAAAAUGUACCAGAAAAGUCUGAAAAUCGGUUGGAAGGAGCAGAUACCUAUAUUCCUGAAUCAUCCUUUUCUCUGGGGAAAUCGCCUUCCCAAAAUGGUUUUUCUGCUUUACAGGUGCCUAGUGGCGCUGGCGGACUAGGCGAGGGUAGCCCUAAGAGUGAGAGAUCGAAUGAUAUGUUUUGUGAUGAUAUAUUUGGAGAAUCACCUGCUGGAGUUCGUAAAGCGGGUAAAGGAGAUGGUGUAGCUGUUGAAAAGAGUGGACUUAAUGACAAUUGGGAUGAUGCAGAAGGUUAUUAUGGCUACCGAUUUGGAGAAGUACUUGAUGGCCGGUACGAAAUAAUUGCUGCCCAUGGAAAAGGCGUUUUUUCUACUGUUGUUCGUGCAAAGGAUCUGAAGGCUAAACUUGGUGACCCUGAAGAAGUAGCAAUCAAAAUCAUACGUAACAAUGAAACAAUGUACAAGGCGGGUAUGGAAGAAUUGGUCAUACUAAAGAAGCUAGUUGGAGCUGACCCUGAGAACAAGCGCCACUGUGUUCGUUUUCUUUCCACAUUCAAGUACCGAAACCAUCUAUGUUUAGUUUUUGAAUCUCUUCACAUGAAUUUAAGAGAAGUUCUCAAGAAAUUUGGUCGCAAUAUUGGUCUGAAGCUUACUGCUGUGAGGGCAUAUGCUAAACAACUUUUCAUAGCUCUGAAGCAUCUGAAAAACUGUGGUGUUCUUCAUUGUGAUAUCAAGCCAGAUAACAUGCUGGUAAAUGAAGCAAAAAAUGUUUUGAAGCUUUGUGACUUUGGUAAUGCCAUGUUUGCUGGUAAAAAUGAAAUCACCCCCUACCUUGUGAGCCGUUUUUACCGUGCCCCUGAGAUCAUUCUAGGCCUGCCGUAUGACCAUCCCAUGGAUAUGUGGUCGGUUGGUUGUUGUUUGUUUGAGCUUUACACUGGGAAGGUUCUAUUUCCUGGUCCUACAAAUAAUGACAUGCUUCGUCUUCACAUGGAAUUGAAAGGUCCUUUCCCAAAAAAGAUGCUCCGGAAGGGUUUAUUUACAGAUCAGCAUUUUGAUCAAGAUUUGAAUUUUCUUGCAACAGAGGAGGACCCAGUCUCAAAGAAGGCAAUAAGGAGACUGGUUGUGAAUAUCAAGCCAAAAGAUUUUGGCACAUUAAUUUCUGGUUCUCCUGGCGAGGAUCCAAAAAUGGUAGCCAAUUUUAAAGAUCUUAUGGAAAAAAUAUUUGUGUUGGAUCCAGACAAGAGGUUGAAUGUAUCACAGGCCUUGAGCCACCCUUUCAUCACUGGCAAGUGAACCAUGAUGCUGAUUCUCUGACUACAGAACUGCUGCAUUAGAUACUUAUACAUUUUGGUGUCGUCUCAAAACUGAAUUAUCUAAUCAUUGGGCAUUUAUCUGUCUUUGUCUUCUCUCUGUGGGAGCAAGAAUCCAGGAGACAGUGGUUGGGCAUGUCAAGUUCUUAGAGAAGAUCUUGGGGAGACAAUUUACGGGAGUUCUUUGCAUGGAUUGUUUUCUAUUUCUAUUGAAAUCUACCUGUGCUAUGAGGAAACCAUUCAGUGGUUUAGAUGAUUAAAGGCACUCUGGAGAAGGUACCUUGGUUUGUUUCUUAGGAGUUUACAUGUGGAACCUUUGACAACUAAAGUUAAUGUCAAGUCUAAAUUAUUUCUAGGGUCAUUUUGGAUUAUUUGAGUAUUGGCAGUCUUCUUCAGAAUAUUUUGUGUCUGGUGUUUUAUACUUCUUUGACUAGUUGAGUGCCUUAAUUCUGCUUGUAUUUAUCCUCUCAACAUAUUAGAUCUGCAAGGCAUUGCUUAAAAAAAUUUAUUUUUCACUCCUCCUUUAUUGAUUCAUCUCGGUGUUGUCUAGAACUUCUGAUAAGGCUUGUUUUUAUUCUCUACUUCUAUUUAGGUUAAACCAUGUUUACCCUCUUCUGUAUGGGAAUUGUGGGUGACUAGUUGUUGCUUCUUUUUUAGAAUUUUAACAGUAUGUGCUAUUUGUCUGAUCCAUGGUUUGGUUGUUCUGGAGGAUUAUAUGCCCUGGAGAUAUUCGGAUGCUGCUUGAAGUCUGAAAAAGAUUCCUGUUUGAGCUUUCUCAUUUCUGCACCACUGGUGAGUGCCCCCCUCUUUGCUCAUUUCCUGUAAUGGGUAUCUUUUAGCUGAUAAACAGGGUGAUUAUGCUAAGAUCCUCAUGGUUUUCAAGUAGUCAUCCAUUUUGUGAUUCAGAGUUAUUGGUCAGGAAAUGUUGAUUUAUAGACAUAUGGACUUGACUGUCAUUGUUGCUUGUGGAUGAUGGUAUUGUUGGUCUUGGCAAAAAUGGUAUCCUCCUGCAGUUUUCAAUUAUUUUUUUGCAAUUUUGUGAAACUGAUAUUUCUUAUAGAGAAAGAUUCUUCAGCGAGGAUCAUAAUGUUAAGCAGAACUAUUAUCAAGACACUUUUUAUGAUCAGGAGUAGAAUCAAAUUAAAACUCUCCUAGGCUCAACUAGCUGUUAUAUAAUGAAGACGAAGCUUUUAGUAGAUGCGGGAUGCUUAUUAUCAUUAUGAAUUAUUGAAUUUGAUUGAUACUUGAACGAGGAGCUUUCUGGUUCAUAAUUUUAGAAUUAUGUGUCCACUAACUCCAGAUUGCAGCUUUGCCGCUGACUCUGCAACUGUAUCUAAACUGAAUCAUCUAGUUCUUAUGUAGGAUAGAAAUUUGUGUUUUGGAAAAUAAUUAAGUCUUGAUAGGAGAUUUGUGGUACUUUUAGGAAUGUAAUUGCAUGGUAAUGCUAUUAUGGUAUUGCAAUCAAAACCACACGUUUUGGAGAAUAAAUUGUUGUACUGUGCAAGUCAUCUAAGAAAAUGACUUCUUAAGAUAAGAAAUGCAGACUUGUGGUGCAUCUACAAUUUGUAUUUCCAAUGUCCUAACUAUCUUUUUACUUUCUAGUCUGGAUUAUAGUACAUUACCUUGCAAUUUGCAUAUGAUUUUCUAAUUUCGGUCAGGCUCAGGGUGUUAGGAAGCUUGUUGUUUCAGAUGGUUUAUUCUUCUACUCUUCCAACCAAUAUUUAUGUGGGGACCUUUAUUUGCUUAUUUCCCUUUUUCUUUUGGUUUGUGCAUGCUGAUCAAGUUUGGCAUUGAUCAUUGUGUUAUGUUUUUUCUUUGAUUUACUUGGAUUUGUUGAUUAUAUUGCCACUUUUUUUCCUGCUCAUUUGUAUUUCAAUUGAAAAUUGAAAAUAGGGUACACCUUUUUUUUUUAAUAACGAAAAUAAGGUAUACUUGGAUGUUUCUUUGUGAUCGAUCAUUUAAUGAUCCCAAAAAAUUCUUCAUUCUGCAGAGAUUCUCCAAUUGUAAGGUACAUCUCUGAAAGGGGAAAUCCCCUUGUGCAUUGUUUUGAUGCAUUUGUUUCAUGCACUUCAAAUGGAUUUUAUUCCCCCGCAGCUGUUUUGACAUGUCAUAGUGCUUUUGACACAUUGAAAAGGUGCCCAUAUAAAUAAAAUAUCGUGAAAUACAAAAUGUUUUGAUCUUACAUACGAACUAAAAAUUAUUUGAUCAUGCAUGUGGACUAUUAGGGUGGUCUUACGAUUGACUUGCUCCUUGUACUAGCAUCUUGUCUGCUUUCUGUUAUUCUGAGUGUUCCAAAAUCAUUCGUCCUACACUCUGCAGAAGGGCUUGACAACAAAUGACAUUAUAGACUGAGAUGAGAAGUGGGAGAUAGAAUGUCUUAGGAUUAAUGUUAUGCAUGACUGUUCAACUUUCUAACUGUUAUCUGCUUAUGAGCAGCUGUUGGUAUUUCCCGACAUCUCCCUUGGUGAGUAUGAUUGCUCCAUCAUUUUCUUAUUUUAUGUAUAAGAUUUAUAUUGUAAUGAGGAGCUGCGGUGCUGAGUUGGGUGGGUAAAAGGACAAAUAGUUUGGGGAAUUUCCCAUAUACUUCAGAUACGCUCAGGAAAAUUGGAAGCAUGGUGACCAUAUUCAAUUUUAAGUCCCAAUUUCUGGAGAUGAGGUCAAUUAUGUAAUCAUCCCUCGCUCCCCUGUCCCACCUGUUUCUCAAUAUUAUGCUGAGAUCUGAAGUUCGUCCAGAACUGGAGGAGUAUGUUAGGUUCUGCAUGCCUGGUGAUUGCUUCAUUUCAUUGGUCAAUGGAUUGCAUGGGAGAGCUGUAGUUUGUGUUACAUCGGUGGCGCCAUCUCAUUAGGCAUCAUAAAUAUGCUAGCUUUUUAGGUUGAGGUUCCAUAAUCGAAUUUUAGUUGUUGGAAGAUCAAGUGGUUUAAUGUGGCCUUCUCUUUUCCUCUCUUAUUUUCUCCUUGCGGGGUUUUCCUUGUUUUUUCCUGAACAAAGAAUACAUCAUUUUGUUAAACCUGAAUGUUAUCUACGUAAUAUUCUGUAGUUGUGUAU